AGAGUUUGAUCCUGGCUCAGAAUGAACGCUGGCCGGCGUGCUUAACACAUGCAAGUCGAACGAGAACGGGAUUGCUUGCAAUCCUUAGUAGAGUGGCGCACGGGUGAGUAACACGUAGAUAAUCUACCUUCAAGUCUGGGAUAACUAUUCGAAAGGAUAGCUAAUACCGGAUGAAGUUGAUUCACAUAAGUGAGUUAAUGAAAGAUUGCCUCUUCUUGAAAGCAAUUGUUUGGAGAUGAGUCUGCGGACCAUUAGUUUGUUGGUGGGGUAAAGGCCUACCAAGACUGCGAUGGUUAGCUGGUCUGAGAGGAUGAUCAGCCACACUGGAACUGGAACACGGUCCAGACUCCUACGGGAGGCAGCAGUGAGGAAUUUUGCGCAAUGGGGGAAACCCUGACGCAGCAACGCCGCGUGAGUGAAGAAGGCCCUUGGGUCGUAAAGCUCUGUCGACAGGGAAGAAAUUACUUCAUAUUAAUAGUAUGUUGUAUUGACGGUACCUGUAGAGAAGCACCGCUAACU
rnacentral:rRNA from 1 species